rnacentral:tRNA from 1 species
GAGUAGCCGCCGGUGGACGGGUAUCGUUGAUGUCGAUUUAAUCAGGAGGUUUCCUGCUACUUU